CUUAAGCAUAUCAAUAAGCGGAGGAAAAGAAACCAACAGGGAUUGCCCUAGUAACGGCGAGUGAAGCGGCAACAGCUCAAAUUUGAAAUCUGGCUCUCGGGCCCGAGUUGUAAUUUGUAGAGGAUACUUUUGAUGCGGUGCCUUCCGAGUUCCCUGGAACGGGACGCCAUAGAGGGUGAGAGCCCCGUCUGGUUGGAUGCCAAAUCUCUGUAAAGUUCCUUCGACGAGUCGAGUAGUUUGGGAAUGCUGCUCUAAAUGGGAGGUAUAUGUCUUCUAAAGCUAAAUACCGGCCAGAGACCGAUAGCGCACAAGUAGAGUGAUCGAAAGAUGAAAAGCACUUUGAAAAGAGAGUUAAAAAGUACGUGAAAUUGUUGAAAGGGAAGCGUUUAUGACCAGACUUGGGCUUGGUUAAUCAUCUGGGGUUCUCCCCAGUGCACUUUUCCAGUCCAGGCCAGCAUCAGUUUUCCCCGGGGGAUAAAGACUUCGGGAAUGUGGCUCUCUUCGGGGAGUGUUAUAGCCCGUUGUGUAAUACCCUGGGGGGGACUGAGGUUCGCGCAUCUGCAAGGAUGCUGGCGUAAUGGUCAUCAACGACC
rnacentral:rRNA from 1 species